CCGCGGUAAUACGGAGGGUGCAAGCGUUAAUCGGAAUUACUGGGCGUAAAGCGCACGUAGGUGGCUGAAUAAGUCGGAUGUGAAAGCCCUGGGCUCAACCUGGGAAUGGCAUUGGAUACUGGCAGGCUAGAGUGCGGUAGAGGGUAGUGGAAUUCCCGGUGUAGCAGUGAAAUGCGUAGAGAUCGGGAGGAACAUCUGUGGCGAAGGCGACUACCUGGACCAGCACUGACACUGAGGCACGAAAGCGUGGGGAGCAAACAGG
rnacentral:rRNA from 1 species